UGGGGAUUAGUUUAAUGGUAGAACGGGGCACUCUGACUGCCUUGGUCGAGGUUCGAGUCCUUGAUCCCCAGCCA
rnacentral:tRNA from 1 species